CCUACGGGCGGCAGCAGUGAGGAAUAUUGGUCAAUGGGCGGAAGCCUGAACCAGCCAAGUCGCGUGAGGGAUUAAGGCCCUGCGGGUCGUAAACCUCUUUUGCCGGGGAGCAGUGGUCCGGACGUGUCCGGGCCGGGAGAGUACCCGGAGACAAAGCAUCGGCUAACUCCGUGCCAGCAGCCGCGGUAAUACGGAGGAUGCGAGCGUUAUCCGGAUUUAUUGGGUUUAAAGGGAGCGCAGGCGGCACGGCAAGCCUGAUGUGAAAGCCCGCGGCCCAACCGCGGGACUGCAUUGGGAACUAGCGGGCUGGAGUGCCGGAGAGGUAGGCGGAAUUCCUAGUGUAGCGGUGAAAUGCUUAGAUAUCACGAAGAACUCCGAUUGCGAAGGCAGCUCACUGGACUGCAACUGACACUGAGGCUCGAAAGUGUGGGGAUCAAACAGGAUUAGAUACCCGGGUAGUC
rnacentral:rRNA from 1 species